GACUCGAGCACUACGGGGGAUAGUUCGAUGCUUCGGUUUUUGUUUGGUUGUUCCCUGAGGUAUGCAGUGUGUCAGGCUGGUCAGGUGUGGUGUUUGUUGUUGUUCACACACAGGUGGUUCCGUUCAAAUUGGAAGGUCAGCAGUCAGCAUCUGAGUCAGGGCAGUGAUGAGCAAGGCUAGCAUCCUCUUCUUUGUUUCUGUUUUGUUAUUGUGACCGUCAUCAAACCACCGCCCUCGAAUGCUGAACUGACAACUGGGUGACAGCUGGACUCACUGUGGGUUAUUUACGUAUCUGAUGCGUCAUUUGAUACGCUGAGUAACUUGGAAGGAAUGUGUCACCAUCAGCGGGCGGUGUAAUGGCCGAAGAGAUGCUGAGGUACACCGUAUCUCACUAGUGUCAAGAGGAGCACUCACUCACGUCGGCGUCGUGUUAUGGAUCAUAUGGCGCUGGAGUGCGAAAUGAAGUGAGGCAGAACGAUCUGGAGGAAAAUGUUGCUAAGAGCUGAGGUCAUUGUCCUUCUCGGUACAGCAAGACCGAGGCGUGGGCUGCGAUAUGAGGAGGCACUCUGGUCCGUCACGAUGGCUGAGAGUUUAUUGUGGUGGAUUUUGACUAUUGAUACAACUCACCGUUACGUUUCUGGCAGCAGUUGAAUAUCGUAAGUAAUUGUAAGAAGCCUUUGAAAAACCUCAGGAGAAAAACACGGCACCGUUUAGUAUCUUUUGAGAAGGAUCACUUACCGUCCCUCGUUAGAUACUCCCACGCUUCUUUCCUGCUAACGUCUUGUGAUAUUUUUGGUGAAUGUAAGCACAGGCUGCGUCGUGAGUGGGUGUGUAAAUAGCCAAGCAUCAUGAGUAAGACUUUUUGACAGUUGAAAGAUAGAAAGGAUUAGCAGAUAAUUAAAAAAAAGUAUCAUAUUAGGUAGAUUGGUUAGUUAGAUAUUACAUUAAAAUUAGAUAGACAAAGUUAAAGAAAAUCUAUAAUUCAAUAAACCUUACGUCUCUUUUCUACAUUUAUAUUAUCCUGUCUAAAACCUCUCCACAUUCCUAUACCUUUUUUUUUCUUUUUUUCAUGUAAUCAGCGUCACGUUAUCAGUGUCAUAAUUUUCUUGAACCUUCGUGUGGCAAAUCCUCGAGCAAAUUUACAAAGUUGUUGAAAAUGUGUUGACGUAUGAACAAUACACAGUGAAUUAUGGAAACACUUGUUCAUUAUUAAAACCCAAAAAGUUUAUAUUUAAUCGGCUAAAGGACAAUAAGUAUUCGUGCAUACAACAACCAUCAUGAACGAACAAUGCUGUCUAUACAGUUUUGUUGGUAAAUAUCACAGUAAAAUGGAUGAAAGCACAUUGAAAAUUUUCAGCAGUCUGUUCUUUUGUGUCAUCCCGUGUCAUUCUUUUUUGUAUGUGUUGUGACGGGCGAAUAAUUUAAGUUCGCAACGUGUGUUCCUAUUUUUCCUGUCCAUAACCCCUAUACGAUGUGUUCUGUCUCACACUCACAGCUGCAAUACCAACAACACUUUUAUUACCUAACAUUCAAAAACUACACGAAUACAUAUAUGUCUGGAUCCGGGUUUAGGAGAGAUGUGUGUGUCCUGCAGCGAAUACCGUACAGCGCCUGACUAAAGGACAAUGAUGCUCCCUGAUUGUUAAGCGACCGAGGAGGAAACAUAGAUCACCAUUCCGUUAGUGAUGUGUUGCGUAACCCUUUGUGUCUAGUUCUGUCAUAAUAGCAGUUCAGAGUAGCUGCUGAUUGGUAUGUUGGCACCCAUGAAAACCUGUCGUUACUCAUAAGUCAGGUUAGCGUACACACACACACACACACACACACACACACACACACACACACACACACACACACCGGUUACAUGACCUACUUUAUAUCACUGUAAAAGCUCCCUUUGGUGUGAGAUUUCAGGAGAGACUUCCGCAAACUGGCGUUCAUUAUCAGUAGGAAAAUUUUUCAUGCCACUUAACGUUUGUUGAUGAGGAAAUUGCUACCAUCUCAAGCACUAAUAUUGUGAAAGCAAAUGUUGAUCGUCCAUAAAAUGUUCUGCUUAUGUGGUUUGCUUUUCGUUCACUUCUGAGUGGUCAUCAUUUUAAAAAGACUCGGUAAUGAAGUUGGUGAUAAACAAGGGUGACGCCAGCCAGCCAGCCAGCCUCCCCGCGUGGCCUCAGAGGUAUCAAAGCUUUCACCGCGUGUCUCACUAGAAAUAGCUGUCAAGUUUCUCAGAUCGGGUAAAAAAAGUUACUAGCGACAAAUAUGGGGUGAUGGUUGUCGACAAAGUGGCAGUAAAGAGUGAAGAAGCAGGGCGACAGCAGUGAAGUUGUGGUGUACUGUACGAUAUUUUUUCCCUGGUGAACCCAAGGCAGCAUUCCUUCGCUGUCUUCCGCUCCCCAGCUAGCUUGCCUUCGCUCAGCACAUACUCGCCUGUUUCUUGGUAUCAAUCAUUUCUUGAACUAAAUGAUGCUGUAGUUAUAAAGUUGGAAACAUGUAUGAAAUUUGCGAUUUAAAUGAUGCAGCAUAUGAGCCAGUAGUAAAAGUGAGAUAUAUAGCAGUUAUUCACCAUGUAACUUGGCUGUUUAUAGCUACUUGGUAAACAUGCUCCCCUCUGGCAGUUUUGCUCCCCUUCAGCACACGUGUUGGCGCUUCUUGCCCCCCUAUGAGGUAUCCUACUCGUCUUGUUCCCUGCUGGAGGUUAAUAGAAAAUAAAUAAAUAAAUAAUUGUCAGUAAAGAAGGAAUUUUCUGAUAAUGAGUAACGAUGUAGUUAUGAAAUUGGUGAAAUGACUAUUUUUCCUGUGGAGAGGGCGUGUCUUGUGUUGAAGAAAUUA